rnacentral:tRNA from 1 species
UGGCGUGUAGCUCAGGGGUGAGAGCGGCUGCCUUAUACGCAGCGUCGUCGACGGUUCGAGUCCGUCCACGCCGACGA